rnacentral:lncRNA from 1 species
CAUAAAUUAACUUCUAAUGCUGAUGACAUUCAAAAAGCAAGAGGCUUUCAUUGGCAUUCAUGGUUCAGCACCUUUGGACUGGCAGAUUUUAAGCGUGCGUUUGCCAUCCAGCCCCACAAGCCACAAAGGGGUUAUGACUUUAGCAUUGUAAUAUUUCAGGCAGCUUUGCAAAAGAAACUGAGCUUUGUUACAAUUCCAGGCAGUCAGCAAAAGGGAGAAUAAACCAGCAAUAUGGCUUUCUCUUUAGUAAACAUGCUGUUAGAGGAUGUACAAUGUGGUUAUUGGAGGAUAAGAAAAAUAAUAAAGACAAAGACCACUGGAAAACACCCACACAUAGAUAGUGGACAAAGGAAGAAAGAGGUGUACUCGAUCUGCCAGAGACUAAUCUUGUUCGGCAUUUUAAGAAUUUGUCUUCUUUCUUCUUACUCCCCUGUUUACACACCUGUAAGAAUACCUAUGUAUAUAAGCAUUUUAUCUCAAGAACAGCACGUACAUGUUGCAUACACUUUUCUGUUUUCACAAAUAUCAUCUCAUCAGAAUUAG